GUGAUAUACUCUGGACCUUUGGGCCGGAAUUCUCAGAAGAUAAUCGAAUACUUUGCAGAGAAAUAAAGCACUUGUUAAGGAGCUAAGCACUCCUGCCCCAGGAGCCGAAGAUAUCUAUUUCCCCACAUAAUAUUCUCAGUCUACUUUCGGGUAGUUCAAAUCAUGUCUUUGGAAGCAAUGGUUGACAUAUUGGAGAAGCCCUGACUAUAACCUCGCCCAAUACUUCUUCACCUUAGUUGCUGCCCUCAUGCUUGGCAUGAUCUUUUGGCGGGUUGGCACAAAAAGGGAAAAUGCAAAUGAUCUAACCGUCAUUAUUGGAGCCAUGUACGCAUCUGUUCUAUUUGUUGGCAUCAACAACUGCUCGACCGUGCAACCAAUUGUAGCCAUCAAAAGACAGUGUUUUACCGAGAAAGAGAAGGUGUCUAGGUGAGAAUGUAUUGGGAGACCUUCAUGAAGGAAGGGAAUUAGAAGCUGGGUAAUGUCCUUUUGGAAGGGAAUUGAGAAAGGAGAUUUUAACAUUCCAUGUCUCAUCCACUCCUGUCAUGUCCACAACCUCAGAAAUCCAGAUUUAAUAUAUUGUCAUGAAGGUUUAAGAGUAAUAAAAAAUUGCAAUGUAGCAAUUUAAAUGCAUUUAACACUUGAUUAUGUUGUGCAGACAAUGAUGUUGAAUGAAAAAAUUCAGAGUCUUAAUGCUCUCCAAUCAAUUAUGAAGAAUGCAGAGGAAUAUCUGUCGAGGCUCCCUCCAGAGACACCCUAUUCAGAGUUUGAUGACAAGUACUGAAGAUGCCUAUUUUCCUUUUUCCUUUCACCCCAUGGGUCAUUUUCCCAAUCUAAUGUUAUGGGAUUGCCCAAUACCGGGGGCCAGGUAUAUUCCCUUUUAAAGACUGCAUCUACUCUUUCACCUCUAGAAUGUCAUUUUGUUGAGUUGUUCUUUCUGCAGGUUGUUUAUGUUUUGGAUCAAGUUCGUGCAUUGGAGCAUGAGAUGCUUCUCAGAAUAAAGCAGCAAGGCCUUGAUAUC